rnacentral:rRNA from 1 species
GAUGAACGCUGGCGGCGUGCCUAAUACAUGCAAGUCGAGCGAACGGACGAGAAGCUUGCUUCUCUGAUGUUAGCGGCGGACGGGUGAGUAACACGUGGAUAACCUACCUAUAAGACUGGGAUAACUUCGGGAAACCGGAGCUAAUACCGGAUAAUAUUUUGAACCGCAUGGUUCAAAAGUAAAAGACGGUCUUGCUGUCACUUAUAGAUGGAUCCGCGCUGCAUUAGCUAGUUGGUAAGGUAACGGCUUACCAAGGCAACGAUGUAUAGCCGACCUGAGAGGGUGAUCGGCCACACUGAAACUGAGACACGGUCCAGACUCCUACGGGAGGCAGCAGUAGGGAAUCUUCCGCAAUGGGCGAAAGCCUGACGGAGCAACGCCGCGUGAGUGAUGAAGGUCUUCGGAUCGUAAAACUCUGUUAUUAGGGAAGAACAUAUGUGUAAGUAACUGUGCACAUCUUGACGGUACCUAAUCAGAAAGCCACGGCUAACUACG